rnacentral:lncRNA from 1 species
AUAGCACUAAGGACUUGGUGCUAUUGAAUUUUCCACCGUUAGAUUUAACCCUUUGACUAUUUUUAUCCGUUAUAUUAUACUAUUCAACCAACCACCCACUCAACCCUAGAGGGCCCACAUCAUCCUAUUGGAAGCAUAAAGCAUUUGAUGCUUUCCAACUUUUGACCCGUGGCUCAAGAAUCGUACGGUUGGGAUGAUUGCAAUCUCCCCUAGAGUUGAGUAGUAUCCCUAGAAUUGAGUGGUCCUCACAGGAUAAUAGUAUUAAUUCAAAAGUUAGAGAUGAUUAGAAGUGUUGAUUUAAGGGUCAAAAAGUCGGAAGCACCAGAACCUCUAUGCUUUUGAUAGCAUAAUAGCUCUACUCAUAUAUUUGGAAUAUUAUUAGUAGCAAAUGAGAUCCCUUACCACUCAUUUAUUUUCGAUAAUAAAGCCUAUCGACAAUUGGCACCAUUGAAUAUGAUAUAUACAACUUGAAGCAUUUAGAAAUCAAAGUUUAUAUUUUUUCAAUAUUGUUCUCUCGUCUUUCCAGUGGACACAAAAAUGAACGCGCAGCUGAAAAUAAAUAUUCUUUAAAAAAUGAUGAAAUGAGUCUUGUAAUCAAGAUCAAUAGUAUAGAUCUUGUUUUAAAUAGUUUAAAGAAUUUUCUAACCAAAAUUCAAUUGAUUUGAAUAUCUUUACACCAGAAAAUAUUUCAUAUUACCCAUACAUAUACCUACGUAUGUACGUAUGUAUGUAUGUAUGUAUAUGUCUAGUUUGAACUAAUUUCUAACUAAUAUUUUAUUUUGAUAAAUUUUUAGUUUCGAAAAUUACAUGAAAUAUGCUGAGUAAAUAUGUAAAGAUCGAUAACAAAUGCAUUCAAAUUUUAAAUUAAAGAAUUAUUAAUCGACUCAAGUCAAGCAAAUCGAACGAUUGAAUAAUAAAAUUAAGGUAAAACUUCAAAUAACCCCCUUGUGGUUUCACUUUUUCUCACUUUAGUACCCUGUGGUUUAAAGUGUAUCAAGUUAGUGCCAUGUGGUUUUGCACUUUUUCACUUUAGUACCCUGUGGUUUAAAGUAUAUCAAGUUAGUACCCUGUGAUUUCGCACUUUAUCACUUUAGUACCAUGUGGUUUCGUACUCUAUCACUUUAGUAUCAAGUGGUUUAAAAAUCACAGGGUACUAACUUAAUACAAAAAUAAAACCACAGGGUACUAACUUAAUACAAAAAUAAAACCACAGAAUACUAACUUGAUACACUUUAAAUCACAGGGCACAGGGUACUAAAGUGAUAAAGUGAGAACCACAGGGUACUAACUUGAUACACUUUAAAUCAUAGAAUACUAAAAUAAAAAAGUACGAAACCACGGGGUUUGUUUUGAAAU